rnacentral:rRNA from 1 species
CCUACGGGUGGCAGCAGUGAGGAAUAUUGGUCAAUGGACGAGAGUCUGAACCAGCCAAGUAGCGUGAAGGAUGACUGCCCUAUGUGUUGUAAACUUCUUUUAUAUGGGAAUAAAAUGUUCCACGUGUGGGAUUUUGUAUGUACCAUAUGAAUAAGGAUCGGCUAACUCCGUGCCAGCAGCCGCGGUAAUACGGAGGAUCCGAGCGUUAUCCGGAUUUAUUGGGUUUAAAGGGAGCGUAGGUGGAUUGUUAAGUCAGUUGUGAAAGUUUGCGGCUCAACCGUAAAAUUGCAGUUGAAACUGGCAGUCUUGAGUACAGUAGAGGUGGGCGGAAGUCGUGGUGUAGCGGUGAAAUGCUUAGAUAUCACGAAGAACUCCGAUUGCGAAGGCAGUUCACUGGACUGCAACUGACACUGAGGCUCGAAAGUGUGGGUAUCAAACAGGAUUAGAUACCCGGGUAGUC